GACGAACGCUGGCGGCGUGCUUAACACAUGCAAGUCGAACGCUGAAGCUCAGCUUUUGUUGGGUGGAUGAGUGGCGAACGGGUGAGUAACACGUGAGUAACCUGCCCCCUUCUUUGGGAUAACGCCCGGAAACGGGUGCUAAUACUGGAUAUUCACUGGUCUUCGCAUGGGGGUUGGUGGAAAGGGUUUCUCUGGUGGGGGAUGGGCUCGCGGCCUAUCAGCUUGUUGGUGGGGUGAUGGCCUACCAAGGCUUUGACGGGUAGCCGGCCUGAGAGGGUGACCGGUCACAUUGGGACUGAGAUACGGCCCAGACUCCUACGGGAGGCAGCAGUGGGGAAUAUUGCACAAUGGGCGCAAGCCUGAUGCAGCGACGCCGCGUGAGGGAUGGAGGCCUUCGGGUUGUGAACCUCUUUCGCUCAUGGUCAAGCCGCAACAAUGGUUGUGGUGAGGGUAGUGGGUAAAGAAGCGCCGGCUAACUACGU
rnacentral:rRNA from 1 species